UACGUAGGUUGCAAGCGUUGUCCGGAUUUACUGGGUGUAAAGGGCGUGUAGGCGGAGAUGCAAGUUGGGAGUGAAAUCCCGGGGCUCAACCCCGGAACUGCUUUCAAAACUGUAUCCCUUGAGUAUCGGAGAGGCAAGCGGAAUUCCUAGUGUAGCGGUGAAAUGCGUAGAUAUUAGGAGGAACACCAGUGGCGAAGGCGGCUUGCUGGACGACAACUGACGCUGAGGCGCGAAAGCGUGGGGAGCAAACAGG
rnacentral:rRNA from 1 species